ACUAUCAGCAAAUGCCGAUGGCUUCAAGACCCAUAUCAAGCCAGUCUUCCUUCUCCCCCUCCUCACUUCACCUCACCUGCAAAUUCACUCAGGACCCUGAGUGGAGCCCACCCAUGUUUGCUGGUUUGAGUUCAGUACUUCUUGUAAACCUGGGAUUGUAGCUAAGCACUAUAGCGGUGCAGUUUGGGACACAAAGGUGUAGAGAAGAGUUUAAGGCUUAAACAUGCAUAUCUAGAAGGAGCUAGAUUAGAGAAUGAUUUUAAAAUAACCCUAAUUAAAGCAAUAAUAGUAGUCAGGCAUAAAUGUGAUUAUUUUGUUGUGGCCCCAACAUAAGAGAAAAUAAAGAUGCAGGAAAUAUUUCUUUAUUCUUUUGUAAUGAGUGACCCUACCAGAGGGACACUACCCAGAAAUUGAACUUGAGUUUGUGUGCUAGCAGCAGUCCUUUAAAAUGAGAGAAGUUUCUACUAAAUUGUGAUUUAUGUUGCUCAAAUGAGAAUAAAAUUUAUUUCACAAAUUACUGAUAUUUUUAACAUUUACAGUUUAAUUGUUCAUUGUGGAAAAACAGAGAAAAGGGCAUACGCUGUCCAAGCACAGGCUUCCAUGUGGGCUCAGCCCACCAUGACAUGGGGAUGAAUCCCAACUCUCACCCACCAUGACAGGUGAUCCCCCCAGCUCUCACCCACCAUGACAGGUGAUCCCCCAAGAUCU
rnacentral:lncRNA from 1 species